GUCAAUGAAUAAUGUCACUGUCAGACGUAUAAAUAAAAUUACUAAUUUACUUAUUUGUAUUUUUUACGAGAAGAAGUAAGUGACGAUAAUGCUACAUGGUACACGAAAACGAAAAACAGUUUGCCUUUCUACAAAAGUCACAUUCAGUCGAAGGCAGCUACGCAAUAUUAUUAAAAAAACAGAUAUUGUUGGUGAUCGUUUGUUUGCCGAUUAAAUGAAUAACAAUUUAACUUCAAAUUGAAGAAAUACAACCAAAUUACUCGAAUUAAAUGAAUGCAGAGGAGAAAUAUUUCUUCACUUAAGGUGUCCAUGGGCGACGGCACUCGUGGUCGUGGCAGAUACAGUUUAUGACUAGACCAUAUAAAACUUGAUGGGCGAGACAAGAAAUCCUUUAUGAAGAAAGCUAUUUACGUUAGCCAAGGGGCUGAUAGAAAGAAUAUUUAAUAAAUUAAUUGGAAUAAUAAA